AACGAACGCUGGCGGCAGGCCUAACACAUGCAAGUCGAGCGAGAACUUCGGUCCUAGCGGCGGACGUGUGAGAAACGCGUGUGAACGUGCCCUUUUCUUCGGCAUAGCCUUGGGUAACUGGCCGUAAUACCGGAUGAUCCCUUUUGGGGCAAGAUUUAUCGUCGAAGGAUUGUCCCGCGUUGGAUUCGUUUAUUGGUGGGGUAAUUGUCUAGAAAGCCGACGAUCCAUAGCUGGUUUGAUAGGAUGAUCAACAACACUGGGACUGAGACAAGGCUCAGACUCCGACGAGAGGAAGAAGGGGGGAAUCAUAGACAAGGGGGGAAAGAAGGAGCUAGCCAUGCUGCGUAAGCGAUGAAGGUGGGAGGGUUGUAAAGCGAGUUCAGAUGGGAAGAUAAUGACGGUACCAGCAGAAGAAGCCCCGGCUAACUCCGUG
rnacentral:rRNA from 1 species